GAAUAAAUUACUAACAAACAGGGAAAAUUGUAAAUAAUUACAUCUGAAUAAAGGAUAUAUGAGAGCUCUUGGUUUUACUUCCUUUUCAAUAAGUUUUUAUGAAAAUAGGGCUUCCCAGGUGGUGCUAGUUGUAAAGAACCCACCUGCCAAUGUAGGAGACAUAAAAGACUUGGGUUCGAUUCCUGGGUUGGGAAGAUCCCCUGGAGGAGGCCAUGGUAACCCACUCCAGUAUCCUUGUCUGGAGAAUCCCACGGACAGAGGAGCCUGGUGGGCUACAAUCCAUAGGGGCUCAGUCGGACAUGACUGAAGCGACUUAGCAUGUACACGUGAAAAUAAACAUUUACAAAAAAUUUAAAAAAUACUCCAUAUGGUUGCAUAUUUUUAAUUUUUUCUAUUUACAUUGCCUGAAAUGACUGAGGUUUAAGACUGCAUCUUUGUCCUUUAUGAGGUAAAAGUUAAAUCAGAUAAAUAGCAGCAUGUACAACAUGCAAAACUGAAAUUUUCUCUGAGGACAAGUGAAAAUAAGAUUUGCUAAUACUAUGUUUUAAUAAUUAAAUGGAUUUUAUGAAUGCUUUACUCAACUAUUAGUAACUCUUCAGGUACAAAACCACACAGAAGAAUACUGAUGCUUAGUUUUAUUUCUUUUCUUUUACAAAGAGAAAAUCUUCCAAACAGCUUAAACUUGCCUAAAGCAAUUUCAAGAUGACCCAGCUCUCCCCAAGUGACUUCUCAAAUUCUUAAGCUAUUAUCCUUUUGUUCAAACCCCUUUUCUAACUUUUCCCCAAUUAUAACAGCCAUAUAAUUGCCAAGCUAAGAUUCCUAUAGACUAUCUCUAUCAAAGGAUCAGGAUAGGGAAUGAUAAACCUCUUAACAAAAACUUAAUUCUGAUUCUUUCCCCAGAUUAAGGUUUCUUAGCAACCCAUGAAACAUUUUAUCUGCUGAUUCUAUCAUUUUGAGCACUUUGUUGAACCCUUGAAUUGACCUUAUACCUGUGUGUUUCCCCUCUUGUUGGUUUUGUUGGUCCAGGUUACAUAAAAUGAGGUUGGCAAACAAAAAGCAGUGUGACCACACAUGUCUAAAUGUAUUUAGCCUUUAACACGACAAUGGAUUGUUUACAAACUUAUGAACCAGAAUCUUUAUUUCUAUUCUUUGUCUUCUUGGAAUUACAGAUGCAGCUCUGCUCAAUGGGUGGCAGCGAUGAGGAACAGAAGCCUGGUUUUAGCUAAAACAAGGAUUUGAGAUGAAAGAAGGGUCAAAGAUGAAUACAGCCUGAUUUGCUCUAGCUGGGGCAGCCUGAGCAGUGAAGCAUGCAUUUCAGUCUAACUUUCAAGAGAAUGUUCCUAGCCAAGAUGAGAAUGUUACACUAUGCCAAGAUGGGUGACUAAUUCUCAGAGCAUCCAACUUCUCUAAACAAAUUCAAUUCUGGAUUUGAGUGCUGGGAAUACUGAUGGCAUCAAAGCAGCACUGCCAAUGGUUCCCAGCUUUCGUAAUGGGUAACUCCACUCUUCCUGUUACCCAGGACAAACUCAUUCUUGUUGAUUUUCUUUUCCUUAUAUCCCACAAGUAAUACCAUUGCAAACUGAAUUCAGCUAUACAGUUGUAAUUAUCCUCCCCUUUGUGUGUUUCCUACCCCAAAG
ensembl:lncRNA